UUGAACGCUGGCGGCAGGCCUAACACAUGCAAGUCGAACGGUAACAGGAAACAGCUUGCUGUUUCGCUGACGAGUGGCGGACGGGUGAGUAAUGUCUGGGAAACUGCCCGAUGGAGGGGGAUAACUACUGGAAACGGUAGCUAAUACCGCAUAACGUCGCAAGACCAAAGAGGGGGACCUUAGGGCCUCUUGCCAUCGGAUGUGCCCAGAUGGGAUUAGCUAGUAGGUGGGGUAAAGGCUCACCUAGGCGACGAUCCCUAGCUGGUCUGAGAGGAUGACCAGCCACACUGGAACUGAGACACGGUCCAGACUCCUACGGGAGGCAGCAGUGGGGAAUAUUGCACAAUGGGCGCAAGCCUGAUGCAGCCAUGCCGCGUGUAUGAAGAAGGCCUUCGGGUUGUAAAGUACUUUCAGCGGGGAGGAAGGGAGUAAAGUUAAUACCUUUGCUCAUUGACGUUACCCGCAGAAGAAGCACCGGCUAACUCCGUGCCAGCAGCCGCGGUAAUACGGAGGGUGCAAGCGUUAAUCGGAAUUACUGGGCGUAAAGCGCACGCAGGCGGUUUGUUAAGUCAGAUGUGAAAUCCCCGGGCUCAACCUGGGAACUGCAUCUGAUACUGGCAAGCUUGAGUCUCGUAGAGGUGGGUAGAAUUCCAGGUGUAGCGGUGAAAUGCGUAGAGAUCUGGAGGAAUACCGGUGGCGAAGGCGGCCCCCUGGACGAAGACUGACGCUCAGGUGCGAAAGCGUGGGGAGCAAACAGGAUUAGAUACCCUGGUAGUCCACGCCGUAAACGAUGUCGACUUGGAGGUUGUGCCCUUGAGGCGUGGCUUCCGGAGCUAACGCGUUAAGUCGACCGCCUGGGGAGUACGGCCGCAAGGUUAAAACUCAAAUGAAUUGACGGGGGCCCGCACAAGCGGUGGAGCAUGUGGUUUAAUUCGAUGCAACGCGAAGAACCUUACCUGGUCUUGACAUCCACGGAAGUUUUCAGAGAUGAGAAUGUGCCUUCGGGAACCGUGAGACAGGUGCUGCAUGGCUGUCGUCAGCUCGUGUUGUGAAAUGUUGGGUUAAGUCCCGCAACGAGCGCAACCCUUAUCCUUUGUUGCCAGCGGUCCGGCCGGGAACUCAAAGGAGACUGCCAGUGAUAAACUGGAGGAAGGUGGGGAUGACGUCAAGUCAUCAUGGCCCUUACGACCAGGGCUACACACGUGCUACAAUGGCGCAUACAAAGAGAAGCGACCUCGCGAGAGCAAGCGGACCUCAUAAAGUGCGUCGUAGUCCGGAUUGGAGUCUGCAACUCGACUCCAUGAAGUCGGAAUCGCUAGUAAUCGUGGAUCAGAAUGCCACGGUGAAUACGUUCCCGGGCCUUGUACACACCGCCCGUCACACCAUGGGAGUGGGUUGCAAAAGAAGUAGGUAGCUUAACCUUCGGGAGGGCGCUUACCACUUUGUGAUUCAUGACUGGGGUG
rnacentral:rRNA from 1 species